rnacentral:rRNA from 1 species
CGGUAACAGGUCUUCGGAUGCUGACGAGUGGCGAACGGGUGAGUAAAACAUCGGAACGUGCCCAAGAGUGGGGGAUAACGAGGCGAAAGCUUUGCUAAUACCGCAUACGAUCUACGGAUGAAAGCGGGGGAUCUUCGGACCUCGCGCUCCUGGAGCGGCCGAUGGCAGAUUAGGUAGUUGGUGGGGUAAGAGCCUACCAAGCCUGCGAUCUGUAGCUGGUCUGAGAGGAUGAUCAGCCACACUGGGACUGAGACACGGUCCAGACUCCUACGGGAGGCAGCAGUGGGGAAUUUUGGACAAUGGGCGAAAGCCUGAUCCAGCCAUGCCGCGUGCAGGAUGAAGGCCUUCGGGUUGUAAACUGCUUUUGUACGGAACGAAAAGGUUCUUUCUAAUAAAGAGGGCCCAUGACGGUACCGUAAGAAUAAGCACCGGCUAACUACGUGCCAGCAGCCGCGGUAAUACGUAGGGUGCAAGCGUUAAUCGGAAUUACUGGGCGUAAAGCGUGCGCAGGCGGUUAUAUAAGACAGAUGUGAAAUCCCCGGGCUCAACCUGGGAACUGCAUUAGUGACUGUAUAGCUAGAGUGCGGCAGAGGGGGAUGGAAUUCCGCGUGUAGCAGUGAAAUGCGUAGAUAUGCGGAGGAACACCGACGGCGAAGGCAAUCCCCUGGGCCUGCACUGACGCUCAUGCACGAAAGCGUGGGGAGCAAACAGGAUUAGAUACCCUGGUAGUCCACGCCCUAAACGAUGUCAACUGGUUGUUGGGGCCGUUAGGCCUUAGUAGCGCAGCUAACGCGUGAAGUUGACCGC